UGGGGAAUAUUGGACAAUGGGGGCAACCCUGAUCCAGCCAUGCCGCGUGUGUGAAGAAGGCCUUUUGGUUGUAAAGCACUUUAAGCAGGGAGGAGAGGCUAAUGGUUAAUACCCAUUAGAUUAGACGUUACCUGCAGAAUAAGCACCGGCUAACUCUGUGCCAGCAGCCGCGGUAAUACAGAGGGUGCGAGCGUUAAUCGGAAUUACUGGGCGUAAAGCGAGUGUAGGUGGCUCAUUAAGUCACAUGUGAAAUCCCCGGGCUUAACCUGGGAACUGCAUGUGAUACUGGUGGUGCUAGAAUAUGUGAGAGGGAAGUAGAAUUCCAGGUGUAGCGGUGAAAUGCGUAGAGAUCUGGAGGAAUACCGAUGGCGAAGGCAGCUUCCUGGCAUAAUAUUGACACUGAGAUUCGAAAGCGUGGGUAGCAAACAGGAUUAGAUACCCUGGUAGUCCACGCCGUAAAACGAUGUCUACUAGCCGUUGGGGUCCUUGAGACUUUAGUGGCGCAGUUAACGCGAUAAGUAGACCGCCUGGGGAGUACGGCC
rnacentral:rRNA from 1 species